rnacentral:rRNA from 1 species
CACGUAGGGCGCAAGCGUUGUCCGGAAUUAUUGGGCGUAAAGAGCUCGUAGGCGGUCUGUUGCGUCCGCUGUGAAAACCCGGGGCUUAACCCCUGGCUUGCAGUGGAUACGGACAGACUAGAGGUAGGUAGGGGAGAAUGGAAUUCCCGGUGUAGCAGUGAAAUGCGCAGAUAUCGGGAGGAACACCGGUGGCGAAGGCGGUUCUCUGGGCCUUACCUGACGCUGAGGAGCGAAAGCGUGGGGAGCGAACAGG